AUUCUUUCCUCACAGCUGAAAUGCAAGAACAUCUUUGAAUUUACGUAUAGUUUUUGUGUCAGCCAUGAAGACUAGGUAACGAGGGAUUAACCAGGUGUAUCUUAGAGAAUCCAGGAUGUUUGCCUCGAGCAGUCAGCUGAAGCACUGGAUGUUUAACAAUGAAGGCGAGAUUCAGUCCCUGAGACAGGAGGCCAACGCACGCUAUGUAGAGGAACAUGGGACCAAGAUGUCCGAGGAGCAGAGACAAGCCUAUUUCCUGUCAGCAUCCGAGGAAAGACAUCUCUGCCGCCAUUUUGAAUUCGUCCUUAAGGAAUUCUGUAGCAGGUUCCAGCCACCAAUGCCCAAAUAUGUUUUGGGAACAGCCCUGUGUUAUUUCAAGCGUUUUUACAUAAAUUGCUCAGCGAUGGAUUACCAUCCCAAAGACAUCAUGUUGACCUGUGUAUACUUAGCCAGUAAGGUCGAGGAGUUCAAUGUGUCAAUCAACCAGUUUGUGGGGAACUUGAAGGGGGACCGAGAAAAGUUCGCCAACAUUAUCCUGACCUUUGAACUCCUGUUGAUGGACAAGCUCAACUAUCACCUGCUGAUCCACAACCCCUACAGACCCAUGGAGGGGCUAUUUAUAGAUCUCAAGACCAGGUUCAGAGUUUUGGAAAAUCCUGAGAAACUCCGGAAAGGAGCUGAGGAAUUCCUGGAAAAGUCCCUGAUGACUGAUGUGUGCAUGCUAUUUGCACCUUCACAGUAAAGAAAUGCCCUGGGCGGAUUCCAGCUUGUGAUCAUCAGUUCAAAAGUACUUAUUAUUAAGACUUAACCCACUGAGCAAUGAUGAUAUUGAACCAAAUCAACGGAUACGAACAAUUUAACAAUACAUUAAAAUUGCCACCAUAUGAUGUAGUGUCUUAACAAGGAUAACUCUUGAUGUAGCGGUCUACCUUAACGAUGUUGUUACACCUGACUUCACCUUUCUGUGCAGGUAGCAUUAACAGCUGUGUUGGUCAGUGCUGCCAAAGAGAAGGCUAACCUGGACAGGUAUGUAACAGAAACACUGUUAAAGGGCAUGUCCCCAGAGGACAUCAAGAAACUACAGGUGCAAAUCAAAAAGCUGAGAUACAUGGUAAAAUCACAGGAACAGAUUCCCAGGGAGCAAAUGGCUCAUCUGCAGAGGAAGCUGGACCACUGCCGGAACCAAGAAAACAACCCAGAGAGUGAAGUAUAUAAAAGAAAAUUGCAAGAAAUGUUAAAUGAAGAUGAAGAAAUUCAGACAAAGAAGAGGAAAAAAAUCAGUGAGGAGCAGAAGAAGAAGGACGAUGAAUUACUGUUCAUGCCAUCAUACGUGCCAUCCUCCAACACGUGAAAAUCUGGUCAUGAAAACAAUACACAGAGAUAAGAUAUAAAUUGUUGACAGAUGAAGUUUGCUUUUUGAGCGAUGGAGGUUGCUUGUUGAGAGACGACGAUCGCUUGUUGAGAGAUGAUGAUCACUUAUUGAGAGAUGACGAUCGUUUAUUGAAUAAUGAAUCGCUUGUUGAGUGAUGAAUCGCUUGUUAGGUGAUGAAUCGCUUGUUGAAUGAUGAAUAUGACUUGUGGAGUGAUGAAAGGGCAUUGCAUUACACUGCAUUAAUUGUCAACAGUUCUACUGUCUGUACAUUUUGGGUUGUGUCCACUCGUAAUCAGCGAACUCUUGACCCGUGACGAUGAAGAAACAUAAUUAUUACUUAAUUAAUAAACACAAUCAGUUUAUGAAAUGACAAUAAAUGAGCUGUAAUGUCAGGUUUUGCAACUCAAGUGCUUUGUAUGGAGCAUAGUAAUUCAGUUUGUUUGAAAAAUGGAAAUUAACCUUAAUUAAACUUUAACCAGAAUUUUUCAACUUCCUUAUAUUAUAGCAAAUAUAGUGUUGCUGAAGUGAAAUUUUGAUGUAUGACCACACUUUUUUCAAAUUUUUUGCAUUGUUGCACAUGUUUUUAAACUUCAAAUGUUAAUAAGUCAUAAAUCAAUAGUCAGAAUUUAAUGAACUGACUGAAAUGCUUACGUUUGAAGCCUUUUAUGAUUCCAAAUCCUUUGUACAUAUAAAGGCAUUUAAGAAUAGUAGUUGUAAAUUUGUGACAGUUUUUUUUCUCUGUGAACCGGUUGUUUCCAGAUGUUUUCAGAUUCGUUUGUUACCAGUAAUUGUUUUCAUUUCAUUGAUAUUUUAUCGUUUCAUAGCAAUAACUAUGAAUACCAUCUUAAUAUGUGGGUUACUGUUUCCCUCACGGAGCUUUGCACAUGUAUUUUAAAUUCUUAUUUUGUUCUUGUUAAUGUACAUCAUCUUGCAAUGUGUAAGAGAAUUGGAGGAAUGACCACAACAUGACUCUAGACAUUGGGUUUUCAAACAGAAGGGUCCUGGGUUCGAGCUUAGUGUUGGUCAUUUUUCAAAUUCUAUUGCAUGUGUACCUCUCCUUGUUACAUUAAAUGGAAACCAAC
rnacentral:misc_RNA from 1 species